rnacentral:tRNA from 1 species
UCAGAAGUAGCUUAAGACUAUGAAAGCUUUGAAUUCUUGAUUCAAGGAUGCGAUUGGGGUGUCGUCUUCUGUA